CGGGGGGGGGCAAGCGUUGUUCGGAAUUACUGGGCGUAAAGGGCGCGCAGGCGGCCUGACAAGUCCCUCGUGAAAUCCCACAGCUCAACUGUGGAACUGCGGGGGAUACUGCCGGGCUUGAGUCCGGGAGAGGAGAGUGGAAUUCCCAGUGUAGCGGUGAAAUGCGUAGAUAUUGGGAGGAACACCGGUGGCGAAGGCGGCUCUCUGGACCGGUACUGACGCUGAGGCGCGAAAGCUAGGGGAGCAAACGGGAUUAGAUACCCCGGUAGUCCUGGCUGUAAGCGUUGAGCACUUGGUGUGGCGGGUAUCGACCCCUGCCGUGCCGAAGCUAACGCAUUAAGUGCUCCGCCUGGGGAGUACGGUCGCAAAGGCUG
rnacentral:rRNA from 1 species